AUCGCGGAUGGGGAGCGCGAGCGUGAAGAAACCGGCCGCCAUCUUACUGUACCCACAACAGUCGCCGCAGCGAUCAUGGCAACUUCUUGCAAUUACGGUCGUACCAACCGUACUGGCAAGGUUACAGGGCCUAAAUUUAUACAGGUUUCGUCAUGAGGGCUACCCAGUGAAUAAUCUGUGCAGUGUGAUACGGCUGGGUGUACAGGUUACUUCACAGCUGCCUCGACAUACUCAAGAAAUGGGUGCAGAACCUGCGUAAUGCCCACAAACCUUGACUACCACAGCACCUCCAGAAAGUAAAGGCAUA